CUGUAAUAUUCUAAUCCAAUUAUCUCCAAGCAAAGAAAAAACAUACCCCAAAAAUACAUAAAACCCCACAAAUGUUAUAUCCCCUGAUAGCCCUGAUCUGGGUAACCAACAUAUCCAAAAAUCACUCAGAUCAGUUCAGGGGUUCAAGAAUUAUAUGGAAGUCAUUUAUUUGACCGACUGCAGGCAUGGUCCCAUUCCCAAAACAAUUCUAGAGAAUCAGGAUUUG